UCUUAUCAAGAGAGACGGAGGGAUCGGCCCGGUGAAGUCUCGGCAACCUGCAGUUUACUGAAAGGUGCUAAGUCCGACAAAGUAAUGCUUUGGGAGAUGAGG
rnacentral:ncRNA from 1 species